rnacentral:rRNA from 1 species
GACGAACGCUGGCGGCGCGCCUAACACAUGCAAGUCGAACGAGCGAAAGAGAGCUUGCUUUCUCGAGCGAGUGGCGAACGGGUGAGUAACGCGUGAGGAACCUGCCUCAAAGAGGGGGACAACAGUUGGAAACGACUGCUAAUACCGCAUAAGCCCACGACCCGGCAUCGGGUUGAGGGAAAAGGAGCAAUCCGCUUUGAGAUGGCCUCGCGUCCGAUUAGCUGGUUGGUGAGGUAACGGCCCACCAAGGCAACGAUCGGUAGCCGGACUGAGAGGUUGAACGGCCACAUUGGGACUGAGACACGGCCCAGACUCCUACGGGAGGCAGCAGUGGGGAAUAUUGCACAAUGGGGGAAACCCUGAUGCAGCGACGCCGCGUGGAGGAAGAAGGUCUUCGGAUUGUAAACUCCUGUUGUUGAGGAAGAUAAUGACGGUACUCAACAAGGAAGUGACGGCUAACUACGUGCCAGCAGCCGCGGUAAAACGUAGGUCACAAGCGUUGUCCGGAAUUACUGGGUGUAAAGGGAGCGCAGGCGGGAAGACAAGUUGGAAGUGAAAUCUAUGGGCUCAACCCAUAAACUGCUUUCAAAACUGUUUUUCUUGAGUAGUGCAGAGGUAGGCGGAAUUCCCGGUGUAGCGGUGGAAUGCGUAGAUAUCGGGAGGAACACCAGUGGCGAAGGCAGCCUGCUAAGCUGCAACUGACAUUGAGGCUCGAAAGUGUGGGUAUCAAACAGG